rnacentral:lncRNA from 1 species
UCUCUUCCCUGAAAUAAUCCUAGCUAGAAUGUUAAAUACCAAGUUCCCAAACCAUUGUGUCAUAUCCACCUUCAUGAACUCGCCUUCGUUGUCUUUGUUCUUUAGCCACGCCUCGUAGAUAUCCUUCGUGGAUGCUCUAACUUCAUGAACUCGAACAUCUCCAAGCAUCUCUACUCGUUUUUGAGAAAGAAUCUCAAGCAUAACGAUUUUGCGAACUUGUCGCCAGUAGUCCCCAUAUGGCGCAAGGCCGAAUGUGGCGUAGUUAUACAACAUGAUCUCAACCGCCUUUGAUUUCGGUCUACUCGCAAACGCCUUGUCGUUUGUGGUAAAACACUCUUUAGCUAAAUCCCCACUACUCACAACCAAAACUUGGUGAACACCAAGCUUGAUGGUAAAGAUAGGGCCAUAUUUGUCAGCCAUGUCACCUAAAACCUGAUGAGGUGGUCGAGAUCCACCUAGAAGGUGCAGGUGUCCGAUUAUAGGCCAUGAACCCUUGGCUUGAGGUGCUGCUCUCUUCUUCACUAUGUUUAUCUUCUUUCUCCUCAAGAUCUGCAACAGGAAAGCUAUUGCAAGAAUAACAAAAAUAGAUAGUACAGUCGUUGAAAAUGAGAGAUGGAACUCCAUGACUUCUUGAUCACACAUAAUUUUGGGUGUGAUUUUGUAAAAGAAAUAGAUUUCGUGAGUUAGAUAUUUUUCAACUUCACAGGUAAUGUCAAAUAUAGCAGUUGAUACUCUUGAAAUUAUUGCCUUUUUAAUUUGUUGGUUACCUCAAAACCAAUAUUGACUUGUGCACUUGCCUCAAAACCAUUAUUGAUUUAAUUAAUCACCCAGAAGAUUUUGAAUACAUACGUGGUCCUAGCUUAUGUUUUUUAAUGGAUAUACAUAA